GUACUGUAUUAAUUUGUGUAUUACUAAAUGAUAGAUUGUAGCUUGUUCUAUGUAUGAUUGUUUUCUUUUCAAUUCUCCAGAUUCAACUAACUCGAUGGGGAAGCUCGAUAUAUGACUACUGUAUUAUCUGGAAAGGGAAAACUUAGAAAGAGUUAAUUUUAUUAAAUAUUAUUAAAUCAAACAGAUAAAUGUAGAUAUGUUAGUGAAUUUGUUAAAGGAUA